rnacentral:rRNA from 1 species
GCGAACGAACAGGGAUAAGCUCAGGUUGGAAACCAGGGCCCUGGUCCUGGGUUGUAGCCUGCAGACGUAGCGCUAUCGGCGGCUUGAGCGAAAGCCUCUUGGAACAGAGCGUGUGCCCAGGUGAGAAUCCUGUGUUCGCUUGAAGUCCGCCGUGUACGGUGCUCGCUCUCAAAGUCACGCUCCUCGGAAUUGGAGCGUAAAUCAGGUGGUAGAUUUCAUCUAAAGCCAAAUACAGACCUGAGACCGAUAGUGAACAAGUACCAUGAGGGAAAGAUGAAAAGGACUUUGGAAAGAGAGUUAAACGUGCUUGAAAUCGCUGAAAGGGAAGCGAAUGGAACCACAUGCUUGCUGAGAUUGCUGCCAAUGCUUGUGAGCCCUGGUCAUUAAAGGCAAGCUUCUUGUCUAGGAGUGAGUUGGCAUUU